UUUAGUUUAAGACCUAUAAUAUACCUUUUGAAAAAAAUCAUGUGUAUCCUUGAUUUUGCAAUGUGUGUAAUGUUCUUAGAGUUUGAAUUAUUGAGAUUUAGAGUUGGAUUUAAUUGAAUAUUGCUGUAUUCAUUUCGAAUAAUUGAAAUUCUUAAUGUCUUGUGCUUGAAAAUCCGCUUCUUGCAUUAGUAGCUAUUAGUUGAACUAUUUCAGUAUCUGAAUUCUCUAACGAUUUGUGAAUCUUUAUUUGUGCAGCAUUUGUUUUGAUGGAAAAUCUCAAAACAGAGGUAAAAGAAACAUCACUUGUACCAGACACGGUAAAAUCUACUGCCUUCUUAGAUGCUUGCAACAUACUUAAAUGUAGUAAUGUGGUUUCUGCAACUAUUGAAGAGCUUAGUAAAACUGUUGGUGCUGAUAUACAACCUAUUCUAACAAGGUACCUAUGCCAAACUCUAAUAUUUUCGGAAUGGACUAAAUAUAUGAUUACUGUCUGAUUGAGUGUGCAAAUUAUUUUCCAUGGUUAGAACUUGAGCUUUAUUAUAAAUAGAUACAUGGCAUAUGAUCCAUUUUCCUCUGGAGCAGCUGUAAAAUAUGUAGCAGUUAACCAACUGAUUGAAUUCAAUAAUCAAUGAAUACAGCAAAUUUCCACUAGAACCAUAUAAACAAAAGAGAACAAACCUAAUGAGAUUUUGAUUUAUUUGUCUUAAAUUUAGGUUACAUACCCUACAAAAUUAGCUUGUAAGGCGGGGGAGUCAACUUAUGUAAACACAUUUUCAGGUCUUAUCGUCAAAUAUGAUACUAUUAAUACAACUCUCUCGAGUCCAAAGAUUGAAUAUCUGAAGUGUGACUUGAGUGAUCGGAUGAGAGUUUCCAAGAUGCGUUGCGCCUCUUGCAAUCGGAUGAGACACCAAAAGUCUAGUAUUCAGUGUCAGAUGGGUGUGUGCUGGCAGUAUUACGUUGGGUGAUAUAUGACCUGAAAGUUUUUGAGUUAUUUCCCUCAUCUUACAAGUCAAUUGUGUAAAGUUAAGUUAGGCCCAAGUUAAAUUCUAAGUAGCUACGAAGGUCUAUCCUUGAUCGGUUGAAUCACACUUCAAAGGUUCAGUCCUGAAUUUGAGGGGUGUGUUAACUAUUCUACAUUAUGACCUGAAAAUGUGUUUAUAAAUGGGAGGUAUCCAUCACCUUAUAAAUUCAUUCAUUCAUGAAAUUUAAUGAUGCUAUCAUCUGCAAUUGAGCUGUUUUUAAUAUUUUUGUUUAUGUUUACAGUUCGACGCCAACUUCCAAACGAAAGAAGCGGAAAGUUGGAAGCAAAGAGUAAGAUUUUAUCCUGGAAGGACCUGAAAUUUAUUCUCCUUAUUUUGUUGUCCUUACAUGUGCUGUGAAAACACUGAUUUUGAGUGUCUCCAUAGGCUAAUUAGCUAGUAAUAUUUUUUUAUUUGGUUAGCAUUAAAUAUUUUCUGCAAGAUUGUAUAUAUGUGAGAAAAAACCAGUGCGGAAAAUGAAGAUAUGAAGUUUUGCAAUCUUUCAAUGAGUUUUUUUUUUCUUCAGAAUAACCUUUUUUAUUUUUAUUUUUACGGUAAUUUAUCUUUCAAUUUGCAUGAUUUAGAAACAGUUGGAGUAAAUAUGUUGAUUUAAUU
rnacentral:lncRNA from 1 species